GAUGAACGCUGGCGGCGUGCCUAAUACAUGCAAGUCGAGCGAACAGACGAGGAGCUUGCUCCUCUGACGUUAGCGGCGGACGGGUGAGUAACACGUGUAUAACCCACCUAUAAGACUGGGAUAACCUCGGGACACCGGAGCUAAUCCCGGAUAAUAUAUUGAACCGCAUGGUUCAAUAGUGAAAGACGGCUUUGCUGUCACUUAUAGAUGGAUCCGCGCCGCAUUAGCUAGUUGGUAAGGUAACGGCCUACCAAGGCGACCAUGCGUAGCCGACCUGAGAGGGUGAUAGGCGACACUGGAAGUGAGACGCGGUCCAGGGUCCUACGGGAGGCAGCAGUAGGGAAUGGGACGCAGUGGGCGGGAGCCUGACGGAGCGGCGGCGCGUGAGUGAUGGAGGUCUUCGGAUCGUAAAACUGUGUUAUGAGGGGAGAACAGAUGUGUCAGGAGCUGUGGACGUCUUGACGGUACCUGGUCAGAAAGCCACGGCUAACUACGUG
rnacentral:rRNA from 1 species